GUGAACGCUGGCGGUAGGCCUAACACCUGCAAGUCGAACGGCAGCACCGUAAGAGCUUGCUCUUACGGGUGGCGAGUGGCGGACGGGUGAGGAAUACAUCGGAAUCUACUUUUUCGUGGGGGAUAACGUAGGGAAACUUACGCUAAUACCGCAUACGACCUACGGGUGAAAGCAGGGGAUCUUCGGACCUUGCGCGACUGAAUGAGCCGAUGUCGGAUUAGCUAGUUGGCGGGGUAAAGGCCCACCAAGGCGACGAUCCGUAGCUGGUCUGAGAGGAUGAUCAGCCACACUGGAACUGAGACACGGUCCAGACUCCUACGGGAGGCAGCAGUGGGGAAUAUUGGACAAUGGGCGCAAGCCUGAUCCAGCCAGACCGCGUGGGUGAAGAAGGCCUUCGGGUUGUAAAGCCCUUUUGUUGGGAAAGAAAAGCAGCAGGUUAAUACCCCGCUGUUCUGACGGUACCCAAAGAAUAAGCACCGGCGAACUUCGU
rnacentral:rRNA from 1 species